GGGCCCGCACAAGCGGUGGAGCAUGUGGUUUAAUUCGAUGAUACGCGAGGAACCUUACCAGGGCUUAAAUGGGAGAUGACAGGGGCAGAGACGCCCUUUUCUUCGGACAUCUUUCAAGGUGCUGCAUGGUUGUCGUCAGCUCGUGCCGUGAGGUGUCAGGUUAAGUCCUAUAACGAGCGCAACCCCUACCGUUAGUUGCCAGCGAUUCAAGUCGGGGACUCUAACGGGACUGCCGGUGCAAACCGUGAGGAAGGUGGGGACGACGUCAAAUCAUCACGGCCCUUACGUCCUGGGCUACACACGUGCUACAAUGGUCGGUACAGAGGGAAGCUACCCCGUAAGGGGAGCGGAUCUAUAAAACCGAUCUCAGUUCGGAUUGGAGUCUGCAACUCGACUCCAUG
rnacentral:rRNA from 1 species